rnacentral:rRNA from 1 species
GUGGCGCACGGCUGAGUAACACGUGGGAACCCGCCCCCCGGUGGGGGAUAACGCGACGAAAGUUGCGCUAAUCCCGCAUACGUCCCCAGGGAGAAAGCGCAGUGCGCGCCGGGGGAGGGGCCUUCGGCCAUCAGGUCGUUGGUGGGGUAAGGGCCUACCAAGCCGAUGACGGGUAGCUGGUCUGGGAGGAUGACCAGCCAGACUGGGACUUAGACACGGCCCAGACUCCUACGGGAGGCAGCAGCAAGGAAUUUUCGGCAAUGGGCGCAAGCUGACCGAGCAACGCCGCGUGCGGGAUGACGCCCUUCGGGUUGUAAACCGCUUUUCGGGGGGACGAUGAUGACGGUACCCCCGGAACAAGCCCCGGCUAACUCUGUGCCAGCAGCCGCGGUAAGACAGAGGGGGCGAGCGUUGUCCGGAGUCACUGGCGUAAAGCGCGCGCAGGCGGCAACCUAAGUGUCGUGUGAAAGCCCCCGGCUCAACCGGGGAGGCCAUGGCAAACUGGGUCGCUCGAGCUGCGGAGAGGCCCCUCGAAUUGCCGGUGUAGCGGUGAAAUGCGUAGAGAUCGGCAGGAAGACCAAGGGGGAAGCCAGGGGGCUGGCCGCAGGCUGACGCUGAGGCGCGACAGCGUGGGGAGCAAACCGGAUUAGAUACCCGGGUAGUCCACGCCGUAAACGAUGACCACUCGGCGUGUGGCGACUAUUGACGUCGCGGCGCGCCCUAGCUCACGCGAUAAGUGGUCCGCCUGGGAACUACGAGCGCAAGCUUAAAACUCAAAGGAAUUGACGGGGGCCCGCACAAGCAGCGGAGCGUGUGGUUUAAUUCGACGCAACCCGCAGAACCUUACCCAGACUGGACAUGACGGUGCAGACGGCGGAAACGUCGUCGCCUCCGAGGGCCCGU